rnacentral:rRNA from 1 species
UGGGGGAUAUUGCACAAUGGGGGAAACCCGUGAUGCAGCGACGCCGCGUGGAGGAAGAAGGUUUUCGGUAUUGUAAACUCCUGUCGUUAGGGACGAUAAUGACGGUACCUAACAAGAAAGCACCGGCUAACUACGUGCCAGCAGCCGCGGUAAAACGUAGGGUGCAAGCGUUGUCCGGAAUUACUGGGUGUAAAGGGAGCGCAGGCGGACCGGCAAGUUGGAAGUGAAAACCAUGGGCUCAACCCAUGAAUUGCUUUCAAAACUGCUGGCCUUGAGUAGUGCAGAGGUAGGUGGAAUUCCCGGUGUAGCGGUGGAAUGCGUAGAUAUCGGGGAG